GUCUAUUUUUUCCCCCAAUAACAAAAAAAAGUACAUACUAAUGGAGCCAGCCACCUUAAAAGCACUUUGCUGCCCCCCUAACCGCACUCUCCCCCAUCUCAUGAUUGGAGCUGGUCAUUGAUACGGGAGCUGGCGAACGAGACGUACGGAACAGGAGAGGCGUUUAGGUGUCCAUUGGCGCUACUGUGAAAUGUGAGAUAAUGGGAUGAUUUUAAGCAAAGGAGCCAGGGUGGACUCGGGUGCGGAGCAGCCGUGCACCCGGCCGCACGCCGGGAGGCCGUAUUUAUCAGCAUAAUGGCAGGUGCGUCGUGGGAGGCAUGCGGCAAAAUCAUAAUCGUGCCGAAGCCGAUUACAGUAGAUUAGUACGGAGGAUGCCAGGAAUGCGAACCGCAGAGAGAAUGCUGAGCGCCAAAGCACCGAGAGCCGGAGCCUCAUUAGUCUUGUGUGCUAACGACCUCAGGUGGACGGGCGAGGGACGACAGGAGGCCGCUAUGCUAAUAAGGUGGACGGGCCCUUUGGGGGCCUUUGGCCUCAGUGAGCUGCGAGCGAGGCCCAAUUAAGCAGCGAUCCGGACCGAGGAGCCAAGCAGAGGGCCCGCCCGGCGGCCUGGGGUGCCGACUCCCUCAGCUUUGCUGGCUGUUGACGUGUCUCGUCCCCGCCUGAUGCAGAACUAACUGGAGUACUUAGAAACAGCAACGGCCACCGGGGGCAGCGUUGUUAAGCUGCUCAACGUUUUUGCUGGGAAGGAAAGCGGCAUAGAUAGAUAGAUAGAUAGAUAGAUAGAUAGAUAGAUAGAUAUACUUUAUUGAUCCCACACGGGAAAUUAUUAUAUCACGAACAAACAAACACCCAAGAAUGUAAUUUAUGUCGCAUUGUCCUGCAAGUAACUGUUCACUUGCAAAUGUCAGUUAUUAAAUGUUACUUGUGAUAUCAGAGGCGUAUUAUAUAUAAUACAUUUAUACAGCAUAUACGUUUACGUUUACGUUCAGCGGACGCUUUUCUCCAAAGAGACGUACAUCUCAUAGAAAAUACAAUGUGUACGUUACGUUAGCAGAAAGAGACACAUAGUUUCAGACGUGUGAUUCUUAAGUACAGUUAGUUUGAUUCUUUCCACCAUAUGAACCAACGUACUGUACAUCACAUGAGUAGCUGCAUAAUCGUAUAUGCGUAUAUCACAUCGCAUGUAUAUAUCAUCAUCAAUGUAUCACAUACGUAUCACAUAUGCGUAUGUCACAUCGUAUAUUAAAUGUCCACUCCAUAAAUUUGAACUUUUAUUCUAAUGCACAUAACAGCGCUUUUCGGGAGCUUUGCUGCACUUGGUAGCUCACGGCUAGCUGUUACAGUUUGGGUGAAAACGGCUCGGUGACGUCACCCCAUGCAUAAGUAAAGUCUGCCAAUCUGUUAACGCAACCCGGGCCGUGUAAGCGUUCAGUCUGCUGAGCAUGUUUAUUUGUGACCGCGCCAUUUUAAGUGUUAGCUAUUAAAAAUGAAUAGGAAUGAUUAAGAUCCUUUAAACCCCGCCAAUGGUGUACUUAAAUAUUAAGCUGUAAGUAAUUGCAC
ensembl:lncRNA